AGUGAACGCUGGCGGUAGGCCUAACACAUGCAAGUCGAACGGCAGCACAGUAAGAGCUUGCUCUUACGGGUGGCGAGUGGCGGACGGGUGAGGAAUACAUCGGAAUCUACUUUUUCGUGGGGGAUAACGUAGGGAAACUUACGCUAAUACCGCAUACGACCUACGGGUGCAAGCAGGGGAUCUUCGGACCUUGCGCGAUUGAAUGAGCCGAUGUCGGAUUAGCUAGUUGGCGGGGUAAAGGCCCACCAAGGCGACGAUCCGUAGCUGGUCUGAGAGGAUGAUCAGCCACACUGGAACUGAGACACGGUCCAGACUCCUACGGGAGGCAGCAGUGGGGAAUAUUGGACAAUGGGCGCAAGCCUGAUCCAGCCAUACCGCGUGGGUGAAGAAGGCCUUCGGGUUGUAAAGCCCUUUUGUUGGGAAAGAAAAGCAGCAGGUUAAUACCCCGCUGUUCUGACGGUACCCAAAGAAUAAGCACCGGCUAACUUCGU
rnacentral:rRNA from 1 species